AUUUCUUAUGGUGUAAUAAACACAUCAGUUUUUCACAUUGAAGAUGGGCUAUAUCCUAAGGGCU
rnacentral:tRNA from 1 species